UUCCCAUUCCCUGUAGACAAUGGCUAAAGAUGUGCUGAGACUGGAAUGUUUAAGGGGUGAAGCCUGACCCCUUGAGUAUUCUGUUCAUCUGGGGAUGUGCUGGAACAUGAAUAUCAACAAGCAGGAGCAGACUUGAAAAAAUAAAUGAAAACAGUGAAGUCAGCUGCCAGUAAAUGUCAACUCAGUAAUGAGUUUACAUUAGUCAUCAAUUAUUUGAGAUCCGGUUGGAACCCUUUCACUGGAGUCCGGGAGGGAAA